rnacentral:tRNA from 1 species
AAGGUCUUAAGUUAAUUAAACUAUUAGCCUUCAAAGCUGAAAUUAAACUAAAUUGUUUAGACUUUA